rnacentral:rRNA from 1 species
UACAUGUGGGGCAAGCGUUGUUCGGAAUUACUGGGCAUAAAGGGUGCGUAGGUGGUUUGUUAAGUCACUGGUGAAAGUUUGCGGCCCAACCGUAAAAUUGCCUGUGAUACUGGCGAACUUGAGUGCGUGAGGGAUGGGGGGAACGAGCAGUGUAGCGGCGAAAUGCGUAGAUAUUGCUCGGAAGGCCGGAGCCGAAGGGGCCCCAUUGGUACGUAACUGACGCUGAGGCACGAAAGCGUGGGGAGCAAACAGG